UACGCAGGGUGCGAGCGUUAAUCGGAAUUACUGGGCGUAAAGCGUGCGCAGGCGGUUCGUUAAGUCAGAUGUGAAAGCCCCGGGCUCAACCUGGGAACUGCAUUUGAAACUGGCGGGCUUGAGUGUGGCAGAGGGGGGUGGAAUUCCGCGUGUAGCAGUGAAAUGCGUAGAGAUGCGGAGGAACACCGAUGGCGAAGGCAGCCCCCUGGGCCAACACUGACGCUCAGGCACGAAAGCGUGGGGAGCAAACAGG
rnacentral:rRNA from 1 species